AGAGUUUGAUCCUGGCUCAGAUUGAACGCUGGCGGCAUGCUUUACACAUGCAAGUCGAACGGCAGCACGAGUGCUUGCACUUGGUGGCGAGUGGCGAACGGGUGAGUAAUACAUCGGAACGUGUCCUAAAGUGGGGGAUAACGCAUCGAAAGAUGUGCUAAUACCGCAUAUACUCUGAGGAGGAAAGUAGGGGAUCGAAAGACCUUAUGCUUUUGGAGCGGCCGAUGUCUGAUUAGCUAGUUGGUGAGGUAAAGGCUUACCAAGGCGACGAUCAGUAGUUGGUCUGAGAGGACGACCAGCCACACUGGGACUGAGACACGGCCCAGACUCCUACGGGAGGCAGCAGUGGGGAAUUUUGGACAAUGGGCGCAAGCCUGAUCCAGCAAUGCCGUGUGAGUGAAGAAGGCCUUCGGGUUGUAAAGCUCUUUCAGUCGAGAAGAAAAGGUUGUGAUUAAUACUCACAAUCCAUGACGGUAUCGACAGAAGAAGCACCGGCUAACUACGUGCCCGCAGCCGCGGUAAUACGUAGGGUGCGAGCGUUAAUCGGAAUUACUGGGCGUAAAGGGUGCGCAGGCGGCUUUGUAAGUCAGAUGUGAAAUCCCCGGGCUUAACCUGGGAAUUGCGUUUGAAACUACAGGGCUAGAGUGUAGCAGAGGGGGGUGGAAUUCCAUGUGUAGCAGUGAAAUGCGUAGAGAUAUGGAAGAACAUCGAUGGCGAAGGCAGCCCCCUGGGUUAACACUGACGCUCAGGCACGAAAGCGUGGGGAGCAAACAGGAUUAGAUACCCUAGUAGUCC
rnacentral:rRNA from 1 species